rnacentral:rRNA from 1 species
AACAUGUCUUUAUGAGAGUCAGUAUAAAGUCUAGCCUGCCCACUGAGUUUUUGAAGGGCUGCGGUAAUUUGACCGUGCAAAGGUAGCAUAAUCAGUAGUCUUUUAAUUGAAGGCUGGAAUGAACGGCUGGAUGAGGGAAAAGCUGUCUUUUUUACAAAUUAGAAUUUGACCUCUAAGUGAAAAGGCUUAGAUGCAGUAGUGGGACGAUAAGACCCUAUAAAACUUUAUAUGAAUUGAGAUUAUUUGUCAAAAUUUUAAUUAAAAUUUAAAAGAUCUUAUUUAUAUUUUGUUGGGGAGACAUUGAUAUAAUUUGUAACUGUCUAGUUGAAAAAUAUAGUUAUUGCUAGAAUUUGAUCCCUCUAUGAGGAUAAAAAGAAUAAGUUACUUUAGGGAUAACAGCGUGAUUUUUUCUGAGAGUUCUUAUCGAAGAAAUUAGUUGCGACCUCGAUGUUGAAUUAAAAUUUCUAGUAGGUGUAGCCGUUUACUAAGUAGGUCUGUUCGACCUUUAAAAUUUUACAUGAUUUGAGUUCAAACCGGUGUAAGCCA